rnacentral:tRNA from 3 species
GGGCCCGUAGCUCAAGUGGAUAGAGCUCGCGGCUUCUAACCGCGAGGCUGGGGGUUCGAGUCCCUCCGGGCCCGCCA